CUGAUCAGCACCACAUCGCAAAAAAGAAGAAAAAGAAGAAGAGGAGGACUUACCCAGCAACGACGGCACUAGAUUAGCGGCGUGACGCCGGCAUUGCAGUGUUUUCGUGUCUGUACUACAUAGCAACUAGCACGGUGAAGCACAAAGAUCGGCAAAAACAACAGUAUGCUGCCGAUCUUCUUCCGCACCCGGAAUUGGAGCGUCGGCAGGCAGAAAGAUCGCAGGCUCUUGCAACAGCCAUUCAAGCACGAGCAUUUGCGAAAGCACCUACUGAAGCCCUUCUUCGUCCCGGUAAUUGUAAGCAUGCAAACGAUCCAUUUUUAGACUUAAAAGACUGUGCUAAUUGAGAAGACAGACCAUUUCAUUCAGAUAGGCCUCAUAUUGUAG
rnacentral:misc_RNA from 1 species